AACGAACGCUGGCGGCAGGCUUAACACAUGCAAGUCGAACGCAUCCUUCGGGGUGAGUGGCAGACGGGUGAGUAACGCGUGGGAACGUGCCCUUCAGUUCGGGAUAACCCAGGGAAACUUGGGCUAAUACCGGAUACGUUCGAGAGACAAAAGAUUUAUCGCUGCAGGAACGGCCCGCGUCUGAUUAGCUAGUUGGUGGGGUAAUGGUCCACCAAGGGGACGAUCAGUAGCUGGUCUGAGAGGAUGAUCAGCAACAUUGGGACUGAGACACGGCCCAAACUCCUACGGGAGGCAGCAGUGGGGAAUAUUGGAAAAUGGGCGCAAGCCUGAUCCAGCCAUGCCGCGUGAGUGAUGAAGGCCUUAGGGUUGUAAAGCUCUUUCGUCCGGGACGAUAAUGACGGUACCGGAAGAAGAAGCCCCGGCUAACUUCGUGCCAGCCGCCGCGGUAA
rnacentral:rRNA from 1 species